CCUACGGGAGGCAGCAGUCGAGAAUCAUUCACAAUGGGGGAAACCCUGAUGGUGCGACGCCGCGUGGGGGAAUGAAGGUCUUCGGAUUGUAAACCCCUGUCAUGUGGGAGCAAAUUAAAAAGAUAGUACCACAAGAGGAAGAGACGGCUAACUCUGUGCCAGCAGCCGCGGUAAUACAGAGGUCUCAAGCGUUGUUCGGAAUCACUGGGCGUAAAGCGUGCGUAGGCUGUUUCGUAAGUCGUGUGUGAAAGGCGCGGGCUCAACCCGCGGACGGCACAUGAUACUGCGAGACUAGAGUAAUGGAGGGGGAACAGGAAGUGCGGGUGUAGGAGUGAAAGGCGGAGAUGUCGAGAGGAACAACCGUGGCGAGGGCGGGUUCCUGGACAUUAACUGACGCUGAGGCACGAAGGCCAGGGGAGCGAAAGGGAUUAGAUACCCCAGGAGUC
rnacentral:rRNA from 1 species